UGGGGAAUUUUGGACAAUGGGCGAAAGCCUGAUCCAGCAAUGCCGCGUGUGUGAAGAAGGCCUUCGGGUUGUAAAGCACUUUUGUCCGGAAAGAAAUCCUUGGCUCUAAUACAGUCGGGGGAUGACGGUACCGGAAGAAUAAGCACCGGCUAACUACGUGCCAGCAGCCGCGGUAAUACGUAGGGUGCAAGCGUUAAUCGGAAUUACUGGGCGUAAAGCGUGCGCAGGCGGUUUGCUAAGACCGAUGUGAAAUCCCCGGGCUCAACCUGGGAACUGCAUUGGUGACUGGGCAGGCUAGAGUAUGGCAGAGGGGGGUAGAAUUCCACGUGUAGCAGUGAAAUGCGUAGAGAUGUGGAGGAAUACCGAUGGCGAAGGCAGCCCCUGGCCAAGUACUGACGCUCAUGCACGAAAGCGUGGGGAGCAAACAGGAUUAGAUACCCUGGUAGUCCACGCCCUAAAACGAUGUCAACUAGUUGUUGGGGAUUCAUUUCCUUAGUAACGUAGCUAACGCGUGAAGUUGACCGCCU
rnacentral:rRNA from 1 species